UUUUUAAUUUUUUUUGGCGCCUCGUGACAAACAUAAUGCACAUGCGCGAUACAUAUUAACCCCGUUAUCUUAUUUUUGACAUUUGCGAUAUGUUUUAGCUCGCUGCUCAUUACUCGCGCGUCUAGGGGCGGCGUUGUGGCGCGAAAAGCGCGUUCUCAAAGGGGUGGAAAAUACGUGUUGCUGCGGUAUAGAGGGAGGCGAGGAAACCGUGAUAAACUCGUCUCCGUAGUUGAGCGAGAGAGUUAGUAUGGGGCAUUAUCCAUUAUUAGGCAAGGGUUGUAAAGGUAGUAAAACUGUACAAUCGUCUUUGUUGUGGACCUGGUAGUGGCAAGCAUAAGGGACGAAGACCGGGGGUAUCAUGUC
rnacentral:misc_RNA from 1 species